CGCCUGUUUAACAAAAACAUUUCUUUUUGUAGAUAAGAAAGGUAUGCUCUGUUCAAUGAGUAAUUAAAUUACCGCAGUAUUUUAAUUGUGCAAAGGUAGCGUAAUAAUUUUUUCUUUAAAUGGGAGGUGGUAUGAAUGAGUAGGUAAAAUAUAAUCUGUGUUUUGUACAUAUAUGUAAUUUUCUAUGUUAGUAAAAAAGCUGAUUUUUGCUAAAGGGACGACAAGACCCUAAAAACUUCUAUAAAGUUAGUUUAAUUAACUUUUUGUUUAGCUGGGGAGGUUUAUAUUAUAAACAAUAGGUGUUAAAACAUUAUGGGUGGUUGAUAUAAUCUUGUUUAAGAGAUUGAGGUAAGUUACUUUAGGGAUAACAGCGUAAUUUUGUUUGGGAGUUCAUAUCUAAGACAUGUUUGCGACCUCGAUGUUGAAUUAAAUAUUCUUUUUGGAGUAAAAAAUAAAUAAGUGAGUUUGUUCAACUUUUAAAUAUUUACAUGAUCUGAGUUCAGACCGG
rnacentral:rRNA from 1 species